UGGAGGAGGAGAGUUGUAGUAAUAAGGUGAACGAGGCUUUGGAGAUGGUGGAGGUGGAGAUUGGAGGAAGAGAGUUGUAGUAGUAGUAGGGUGAAUGAGGCUUAGGAGAUGGUGGAGGUAGAGAUUUAUAGUAUUAAGAUGUUUGAGAAUAAAUACGUAUGUUGAAGAUCUAAUUUAUUAUGUUAUUAAUUUGUAAAAAAUUAUUCUUUAUUUUAUUAUCAUAUUCAUUAUUAAAUUGUUAAUUUGAUAAGUCAUUGAUUAAAAUUAGAUGUUUGUUAUCAUGAUAGAGAUUAUGAUAAUGAGAAACAAAUUUUUUAUAAUUUUAAUUCAAAUUAUUCUUGAUAGUAUGAUUAUCGUGAAUAGGACAUCAAUAAUCAUGAUAGAUUAAUAUAUAUGUAAUGAUCUUUAUUGAAUAAAGAUUAAUAAAUUUUUAUUGAAUAAUGAUCUUUAACACGAGAUUAUCAUAGUAAUUAAUAAGUUAUUGGUAUAUUUUAAUUUCGGAUGCCUAAUGUCUUAGAACACUAGUUGAAUGAAUAUUAGAUAUGAUUAAAUACUUGUAAAAUUAAUGAUUAAUCAAGAAGGAAUCCAUCAAUUCUAGGUAAUGAGUUUGAGUUCUAUUUUAGAAUUAAGACAUUGACUAAGGCAAUUGAAUGAAAGAAGAAAAUAGUUUCUUAAGUCAUUCAUGUGUUAGCUUAUUAGAGUUUGACAAUAAUACUAUACUCUAGAGUUAACCUAUGAUGGAAGCAAAUAUUAUAUUCUUCUUCUAUUGGUUCUCGAAGGGAAAAAGAUUUUGUUUCAGGUUAUCCGGACUUUAAGGAGUGUUGUUAAACGCCUAACUUGAUUAAUAAAUUAAUUAUGAUUAAUUUAUUAUCAAUUUAGUAUUGAACCUACAAGGUCACACACAAACGAGUAUUUCAAUAUUUACAAAAGAAAAUAAUUUAUUUUGAUAAUUAAAUUAGAGAAUUUAAUUUAAUCAAAUAAAUAUUUUAGUGAAAUAUUAUUAUAUUUUUUGCUAGGACCAAUAAUAUAAUUAAUAUAUAAAAAGGGAAUAUUAUUUUAUAAUUGUGAAGAUGUCCAUAAAAUAAGAAUAAUAUUCAAUUGCUAUGUAUCAAGGAUGUGAUUAAUUAUUGUAAUUAGUUAUGUGAUUAAUUAUGAAUUAUCUUUAUCUUAAAUCAGUAAGCUUCUUAAAAUAAAAUAUAUGAGAUAAUAUUUUUUUUAUAAAGACAAAUAUAAAUGAAAUUAUUUUAUAUAUUUUCUUUUUUUUCUCACCCAAAUCCAUAUCUCUUUAAUAUUAUGAAUAAAAGUAUCUAUAUGAGGCAAAGCGUACUAAAUAAAGACUGAAAAAGGUUCAAGUCUAGUUUUAGACGUGAAAAGUAGAAAAAAAAUUAUUCUUUAGAGUUUCAUCCAUCAAAGAAUUUGAUAAUAAAGAUUGACCUGAGUAUAGAUACAAGUAGAGUUUUUAGACUAUUAAAAAAAAUGUGUUGCUUCAAAACCUACAUUUUGAUGCAUUAAUUUAUUAUUUAUUUAUUUAUUAUUAUUGUAUAUUUUGAAUAUAAAAUAAAUCCUAAUUUUUUUCCUACAAUUAUUAGAAACAUUUUUAUGUAACUAUCAUACUACACACACGAGGAUAUGAGGAUAUGGUGAAUGAGGUGGUGGAAACUUAUAAUAGUAAGUUGGAAGAGAUGGUGGAGGAGAAGAUUUGUAGGAAUAAGGUAUUGGACGACUUCAUUUUGUGGAAAGAGUCAUGAUUUAAUUUGUUUUUCCUCUCCUUCUCUUAAAAUUUAGUUAUGCCCGUAUAUCUUAUUGAAAACCACAUUUUUUUAGUCUUUCUGGACUGGAUACCCCUACCCCUGGCCAUGAUCAUAAUUCAUAACUAUUAUAUAUAUAUUACACGUAUUUUAUUUGUAACAAAUGGUAUAUCGAUGAGUUUUCUGAAUGUUUGAUCACAUGGAAAAUUUCUGAACGCGUCCUAGAGACUGAAACAGUUUUAUUUGCGCAAUAUAGAGUGUCGGUUUACUAAAAGAACGCACAGAUAGAUAUAUAUCUAUUCCAAAAUGAAGCGUAUGUAUACACGGAAUGAAAAAUGAUUAGUAAUAAUAAAUUAAUUUUACGAAAAUUUAUAAUUCUUUUAUUUUUUAUCUCUCUUAGUCGUUAAAAAGAUUAUGUAAAAUAUUGUAUGAGGACAGUUUCUUAAUAGAAACAUUCUAAUGCAUGUGAUACGUACGGAAUUAUUAUAAUUACAGUUGCACGAAGUAUAUUAUUAAUUAAUAUUCUCCUGUUAACAACCUUUUUUAUUGAGUAGUGUUUUUUCAUUGGAGGAAAUCCUUAAAUAUAUUUUUGGUGAAUCUAAGUUUACUUAAGCGGUACAUUAAUUAGAAAAAAAUAUUUUUUCCCCUAUUUUGUUUAUAUAAGUAAAAAAGUGAGAAUUAUAUGAACGUGCGAAGUGUGUGUAUGAGAUAAUAUUUGUUUUACAUAAUAUACCCUAAAUCAUAAAAGAAGCUUCACUGUGUAACUUAAAUUAAAAUUUGUAUAUCUCCCCCAUGUGCGUCUGACUACUGUUACCAUGCAUAUUCUAAUUAAGAACCCUGUUAGUGCCUUUCUUCUUUUUAUCCUCUUUCCUUCAUGAUCACCAUUGUUAAAUGGCAGUCAAUUCCAUGUACGUAUUGCAUCUCUGAAUUCAAGUCUAGCUGUCUCAUCGAGUUUAAUUUGUGAUAAUUGGUCUCAAGUAAAAAAGACCACUAAUUUGAUCAUUAAAUAUAUAUAUAUAUAUAUAUAUAUAUAUAUAGACAUAUAUAUAUAUAUAUAUAUAUAUAUAUAUAUAUAUAUAUAUAUAUAUAUAUAUAUAUAUAUAUAUAUAUAUAUAUAUAUAUAUAUAUAUAUAUAUAUAUAUAUAUAUAUUGAACAAUGCUAAUUAAAUACCAUAUAUAGUCAGAAAUAGAUCAGUGGGGGGUGCAUGUAUGUUAAGUUAGAAAGAGAUAAGAUCGUGGUUGUGGCAUAUAGACGUGCAUGGGGUGGUGUGGCUUAUAUGAUAUGAGAAAAUCAAGUAAUUGCAGGCAUUUUUUUUAAAAAAUAAAAUGACUUCAUUAAUCGUCUCCAACAUCAGUUAUAUAUAUUGACAUGUUUUUUAAAAUAAUCAAAACUGUCUCGCUCCCAAAUCCCUCUCACUUCUUUUCUUCCCUCUCACUGGCUUAGGGAUUUUCACUUUCGAAAAACAUGACUUAGGCCAUAAUUGAAGCCAUUAGACAGUAAUAUAUCAUAUGAGCAGGGGCCAAUCCAAACUCAAAUGGCUGUGAGGACCGAUAAUAAAAAAUAAAAUUCAUCUAACACAUCAUAAAAAUAUAUAUUCAUAAAUUAAUGUUUUAAAAUGUUAAUUACAAUAAUAAUCUAUUAAAACACGGGACCUUAUUCUUAUAUGUACUAAAUUUUUUAUCAAUUCUUCAAUGUAUAUUAACAAAAUGUGAAUCAAGAAUCCAUCUUUCAUCUUCUUUAAUAAUUAUAGAUUAACAAAAUUUGAGAAAAAUAAAACCUACUAUAUAAUAAGUAGAAUUAGUCAAAUAUAAUAUUCGGAUAAGAUAUUUUACAAAAAAAGAAAUAAAAUUACUAUUGAUUUUAUAAUUUAAAAUUACAGAAAAUAAAAAUUGAUGGUAUAAUAACAAAAAUUGUUAAAAAAUAAUAUUUAAAUAUUUUUUUUAAAAAAAGACAAAAUUGCUAUUGAUUUUAUAGUUUGAAAAAAAAGAGAUAAAAACAAUUAUAUAAAUUGAUGGAUUUGAAUCCAUCCAUUUUUUUUUAUGGAUAAAUUAGAUGAAUUUAUUGUGGAUGAAUUAAUUGGAUAAUGGAUAAAUGAAUUCAUUUGUCACCACUAGCCUGGGACCUAGUCAUGUCCACCAUAGUGGAAAAGUUAUUUUGACCAUUGGAUUUAAAUUUUUCUUGAGAUAAGUGCAGGCUUAUCUUAAGACAAGUUACACUGGAUUAUUAUUAUUAUUAUUAUUAUUAUUAUUAUUAUUUUCCUUAAAAAGUGUUAUUCUUUCCUGUUCUAGUUUAUCGCCCCUUUCUUUCUCUCUCCGACUCUCCCUUCCAUCUACUUAUUCUCCUCCUCCCCUUUUUCAAAAUGUCAUGCUUCUUCGGUGACCUCAACAACUUCUUUGUCAUCAAGCUCCUCGUCGGACACGUAGUUAGCUAUGGUAGGAUUUGAAUACGAAAGAAUGGGCUUCAACGUCCACAAAAUGCUGAUUGGUGCGAUUGUUACUUUAAUGCAAGUGUAGGUAGGUUUGGAGCUUUGAUGUAGGUUUGGGAUAUGUGUGUGUGUGUGGAAAGAAACACGACCUAAAUUUAGGGGAUAUGUAGAUUAUUAUGCUUUUUUAUGCAAAUAUUGACAAAUUUAUUGCAAACAACACAAAAAGAUAUAUUAAAAGAAUUUCACAAUAAUUUGAAUGAAAUCAUACACAAUCAACCAUAUUAAUCUACAAAGAAACAAAUAAGAAAGCUCUAAAAGCAGCCUGAAUUGAUAUCAACAUUUCUAAUCUUGCUUCCUUGUCUUGAAUCUUUUUGAUUUGUCGCUUCCUUGAACUUAGUAAGAACAACACUUGAAAAAUGGCCACCAAAUAAAUAGAAGCAACCUCAUAUGAGUCAUGAAGAUCGUAGCUUAGAGGUGAUACACUCAGACUCUUAUUCAAAGAACUUGUAUAACAAAUUAUAUGCUUAACUCUGCUCCAAAUGGAACGGAAAUUUAUUCCACAAUGAAUACUAGAACCUGAAAUAAAAUAAAAGUUUUCAAUACUUCUCAGAGUUUAUAAAUGCAUAUAAAAUAGACAUUUAUCUANNNNNNNNNNNNNNNNNNNNNNNNNNNNNNNNNNNNNNNNNNNNNNNNNNNNNNNNNNNNNNNNNNNNNNNNNNNNNNNNNNNNNNNNNNNNNNNNNNNNNNNNNNNNNNNNNNNNNNNNNNNNNNNNNNNNNNNNNNNNNNNNNNNNNNNNNNNNNNNNNNNNNNNNNNNNNNNNNNNNNNNNNNNNNNNNNNNNNNNNNNNNNNNNNNNNNNNNNNNNNNNNNNNNNNNNNNNNNNNNNNNNNNNNNNNNNNNNNNNNNNNNNNNNNNNNNNNNNNNNNNNNNNNNNNNNNNNNNNNNNNNNNNNNNNNNNNNNNNNNNNNNNNNNNNNNUGGUGAUGGUGAUGGUGGCGGGGGAGAUUUAUAGUAAUAUGGAGGAGGUGAUGGUGAUGGUGGAGGAGGGCUCUUGUAGUAAUAAGAAGGUGGGGGAGGAGAUUUGUAAUAGUAUGUUGGUGGUGGUGGAGGUGGUGACUUAUAGUAGUAAGGAGGGUGUGGGUGCGGUGAGGGUGAAGGGGGUGGGGGAGAGUUGUAAUAAUAUGGUUUGUGAUAAGGAGUAGGGGAAGGCUUGGGCUUGGGCUUUUCGCAAUCAUAUGACUUUUCAGGAGCAUAAGCAAAUGGCUUAGCCUUGAGCACAACUUCAUACUUAUCCUUGGACUUCACCUUCAAUUUGGUUCCCUCAUUAAGCUUGGUGGGUAUGUUACAGCGUGAAUCCUUAGGAGGAGCAUGGAGUUUAGCCUUGCAGACUGUGGCUCCAUAUUUCACAUAGUCAAAGCCUUCAACAGUGAUGCUGUACUUUCCAUUGCUCUUAGUUUUACCAUAAGCUUUUAUGGUCUUGCUCCCAACUUCACAAGUCACUUCGACCGUGGCACCUAAUUAACGAUGCCAUUAAAUGUGUGGAUCGCACAUGUUAUUGACAAAUCAAUCUAACAUAUAAAACCAUGACAUUAUUGUUUUCUUUAAUUUUAACGGAAGGAAAUGUUUUGUGAACACAAAAUGGGAUAAUAAAGUUAUUUCUUAUAACAUUAUGAUGUGUUUUUAAAACACGUGUACGAAAAAAAAGAAGCAUGUGUUACAUUAAUAAAUCUUUAUUUUUAAAGGUUUAAAUAAUAUAAAUAAAAUUAAAAUAGUUAACCUAUCCUAGCUUUUUCAUAUUUUGAUUGUUGGCUUCAUUGAUUACAUAAGAAAUAGUCGAUUCUAAACAAUAUUUUCUAUUUUCCAACAAAAAUUGUAUUUUUUUUUAUUGAAAUUCCAACUAAAGUCCUCUUCAAAAAAAAAUUGACAACUUUCUGUUUGAAAAGGGUAAUAUAGGUACUUUAAAAAGUAGUAUAUGUUUAGGUUGGUCAUUUGUUUAAUUAGUUAGCAUAGAUCAAGAUUCUCAAAAAUAUUUUUUUGUUAAAAUAUUUUCUCAAAUUGAAACAUGUUUUAUUUCUUAAUUGAAAUGAUAAUUACAAAAAAAAACUAGUUGACUAAAUAAAAAAAGGAGAAAUUAUAACUGUAAAAUUAUUUUAUAUUAGUUUUUUUUACAAAUUUUAUAGAGAAAAGAAAAAAAUGAGAAAAUAUCAAAUAAUUAAAUGAUUUAAUAGAAAAAAUAAAAAAAUAUGACUAAAAUACUAUAAGAAUAUUAUAUUGUAUUAAAAACAACUGUUUAUGUAUAAAUGCAGUUGAACUUCUCUAGACACAACAACACACACAUAACAAUAUCGAUGUAAUUAUACAAAUAAAAAUAUGAGCUUGAAAAAGAAAAAUUAAUUAAAGAAACAUAUAUGGCAGCCAAUGUCCCAAAUUAAAAUUUUGAGAAAAACAAAAGUACAGAUUAAUAUUACCAAAAAGUAACAUUUUUGAAGUAUUCAUAAUAUUAUUAUUGUGAAUGUAUUAGAAUGAAAUAGUAAAAAAAUAAAAGUAAUGUAGGUACCUUUGAGGUGUUUCUUGUUGUGCGACUUUUGGGGGUAUUUCCAGUCAUAACAUCUAUAACAAUAGACUUUACCCACAAUCUUAACAAUCAAUGGGUGAUGAUAUGGGUGAGGGUGAGGAUAUGGAGUGUAUGGAGGAGGCUUAGGAGAUGGUGGAGGCAGAGAUUUAUAGUAGUAAGGCACAUGAGGAGGAUACGGUGAAGGAGGAGGUGGAGACUUAUAAUAGUAAGGUGGAGGAGGUGAAGGAGAUGGUGGAGGAGGAGAUUUGUAGUAGUAAGGUGGUGGAGGAGAUGGUGAAGGAGGAGGCGGAGACUUGUAGUAAUAUGGAGGAGGGGGUGAGGGAGAUGGAGGAGGAGGAGAUUUGUAGUAGUAUGGUGUUGGAGCUGGGUGACUUCUCAGGUGGGGGAGGAGACUUGUAGUAGUAUGGUGGUGGUGGUGAUGGUGAAGGUGGUGGUGGGGACUUGUAGUAGUAAGGAGGUGGAGGUGAUGGAGAGGUGGUGGCGGGAAUUUAUAGUAGUAAGGAGGG
rnacentral:lncRNA from 1 species